GAUGAACGCUGGCGGCGUGCCUAAUACAUGCAAGUCGAGCGAUGCGGGGACGGGUGAGUAACACGUGGUAACACUCCUUUAAGAAUGGGAUAACUUGGGGAAACCGGAGCUAAACCGGAUACUCAUGGAUGGAUCCGCGCUGCAUUAGCUAGUGGGUAAGGUAACGGCUUACCAAGGCAACGAUGCAUAGCCGACCUGAGAGGGUGAUCGGCCACACUGGGACUGAGACACGGUCCAGACUCCUACGGGAGGCAGCAGUAGGGAAUCUUCCGCAAUGGGCGAAAGCCUGACGGAGCAACGCCGCGUGAGUGAUGAAGGUCUUCGGAUCGUAAAACUCUGUUAUUAGGGAAGCGGUACCUAAUCAGAAAGCCACGGCUAACUACGUGCCAGCAGCCGCGGUAAUAC
rnacentral:rRNA from 1 species